rnacentral:lncRNA from 1 species
CAACAGGACAAAACGGCCACCACACAUAAAACUAGUGAACACGGCCAUUACACAUGCAACAAGAGAAAAUAGCAAUUACACAUCAAACAAGAGAAUCAGCCAUUAGACAUAAAACAGGUGAUAACGGCCAUUACACAUAGAACAAAAAAAUACGGCCAUUACACAUAAAACAACAGAAUACAGGCCUUACACAUGCAACGGAUGAAAACGGCCAUUAGACAUCAACCAUGAAAAUACGGCCUUUCACUCAAAAAGAGAAUACGACCAUUACACAUGUAACAGGAGAAAACGGCCAGUACACAUGAAAACAAGAAGAAACUGCAAUUACACAUAACACAAGAAGAAACAAC